rnacentral:misc_RNA from 1 species
UGGCUCCCGUAUCGAUGAAGAACGCAGCGAAUUGCGAUAAGUAAUGUGAAUUGCAGCAUUUAGUGAAUCAUCGAAUCUUUGAACGCACCUUGCACUCCCUGGCCUUCCAGGGAGUAUGCCUGUUUGAGUGUCUUGAAAACCUCUUCAUCUCAUUUUUUGUGAUGUGGAUCUGCGCCUGCCGAUGGCUUGCGUUAAAAGCAUGAGCUGUGACCAGCGAAACGUCAUACAUUUCGUCAGCUGCGACCAGUCUCUCUUUACAUACUCUUUUUUCGACCUCAAAUCAGGUAGGAUUACCCGCUGA